rnacentral:rRNA from 1 species
GGGUGUGCUUGCUGGCCGCAUCUUCGUCCAUAUAAUAAGCGCAAGCUUGAGUUUCGUUCUAAGAAGUGUGUUUUUCUUGGCUAUAGCUCUCUUCAUAAAGGUUACAAAUGUCUUCAUGUUCCCACUAAUCGUGUCUAUAUAUCUCGGGACGUCGUGUUUGAUGAGCAUGUUUUUCCCUUUGCCAAACUUCCUGUGUCCACUGUCGAACCACCAUCUCUGCAUUCAUCCUCUGUUGCUUCUGACCAAUUUGAUGAUGUUGCAUACUCUCCUUUGUUGUUACCUAACCAUGGUGCAGGAACCGGACGUGGGGCUCGUUUGGAGCUGUUGGAGGAUUCACCAUCAUCAUCGCCGCCUUCUGAUGGGCAC